GGGGAUGUGGCUCAGUGGUAGAGCACUUGCCUAGCAUGCACAAGGCCCUAGGUUUCAUCCCUA
rnacentral:tRNA from 1 species